rnacentral:rRNA from 1 species
GAUGAACGCUGGCGGCGUGCUUAACACAUGCAAGUCGAACGGGAUCCAAGGGGUGCUUGCACUUUUUGGUGAGAGUGGCGAACGGGUGAGUAACACGUGAGUAACCUGUCCUUUUCUUUGGGAUAAGCAUUCGAAAGGGUGUUUAAUACCUUAUGUUCUGUCUGCCUCGCAUGGGGUGGGUGGGAAAGGCUUUGGCCGGAUUUGGGUGGGCUCGCGGUCUAUCAGCUUGUUGGUGGGGUGAUGGCUUACCAAGGCUUUGACGGGUAGCCGGCCUGAGAGGGUGGUCGGUCAGAUGGGGACUGAGAUACAGGCCAGAGUCCUGCGGGAGGCAGCAGUGGGGGAUAGUGCACAAUGGGCGAAAGCCUGAUGCAGCGACGCCGCGUGGGGGAUGAAGGCCUGCGGGUUGUAAACUUCUGUUGCUCUGAACAAGGCAUGCCAGUGGGUGUGUCGAGUGUAGGGGUUGAUUAGCGCCGGCUAACUACGUG